CUGAGGCUACUAAUUAUUUGAAGAAUAUGUACCUGGGGCUGAAUCAGCAUGUGUUAAUAUGAUUCAUCAGACACAAUUAUUGAAACCAAGACUGAAAAAGAUGAUCAAGUCAGUUCGUCAUGGGAGUCAAGGUCGUUUUACAAUACACUACAGUAAAUGGAGUUUUGGUAAAACAUUCAUCAUCACCAAGACCUUGCCAAUAUAUGUAAAAUGAAAAAGAACGAGCAAUAAGUAUUACUGAAUUAAUUGGAGCAGAUGAUAAAUAUGAGAGUGCUUGUACACCACGACAAAAGCUGUGUGCUGUUAAUAUGACAACAUAGCUGAGAAAAUAAUGGUGAUGCUGAGAAUGCAAUAAGAUAGAGAUGGUGUGUAAAUAUUCGUGGUGCCGCUGAUGUAAUCAUUACAGACUACCUGGGG